CUGUAAUAACACUGGAACGCUAACUGCAGAUAAAUAUGCCCAUACUUGCCUGAAGCCAAAAUGGCGCUUCUCGCGAGCACGGCCAGCAAUAAAUUAACUUUCAAAAGGACUGGGGAGAGUUUCGAGGAGCGGGAAAUUCAGUCAAAAGUUUGUUUUUGAGCGAAAAUCAGCGAGAAAAAGUACUUUUUUUAUCAAAAGGCUUCAACUUUAAAGAUUCAAACCUGGUUUCCUGGAUAGUUCUAAGUAUUUUACAUCCACUAACAGCAAAAACUUCCUGGGUAACAGCUUGAUAUUCAAAAUAUUACACAAGUUUGAACGUGCCGAAAAAACUUCGCACUUUGACUCCUGAAAAAAGAACUUUAUAACUGCUCUACGUUCUGGAAACAUGUUUUGUAUUAAAUUUCAGGUAUUGUUGAAAGUUUUUAGCUUUUUUCCUUGUUGAAAUACAGCUAUUUAGUGGUCGAAAACAGACGUCUUUUAGGCGGCGUAUUUUCCACUCCAUACCUACAUGGCGGCCAUCAUGAGUGGCUUCAAAGAUGGCGGCCAAGUUAUCGUUCCAGUUCUCUUAGAGUUCACUGAGUGUAUGUACCCCAUUGAACUAUAAAUAAACUGGAAGGCUAACUGCUAUGAUGAAGGCCUAUGAUUUGAUGAAGCCAAAAUAGUUUUUCUGAGUUAUGAGCAGAAAUACUUGACCCCAAACGUCGGGCUACAUAUCAAAUUGAAGCUAUUGAAAAUUGCUAUUCGGUGUGGAAAUUUCAAGACUUCAGCGAAAAGAAAAAUCUUUAAAAAAUACAAAAACAACUGCAAAACGGCAAAUUAUCGGUAAUUAUGUUUGUAGUUUUUCAAUAUUUCCCUUUUAGCUAAAGUCUUGAAAUUUCUACACCAAAUAGAGUUUUUCAAUAGCUUCAAUUUGAUAUAUAGCCUAGCGUUCAGUGUUGAGUAUUUCUGCUCAUAACUCAGAAAAACUAAAAUGCACUGGCUUCAAUUUCCCCCCCUGAG